CAUAAGGGCGCACGGUGAAUGCCUAGGCAUGAAACAGCGAUGAAGGACGUAGCGUAGCGACGAUACGCCUCGGGGAGGU
rnacentral:rRNA from 1 species